AAAUAUAUGUUUCUUUGCAUUCUUUUGUAGAUUUUGACAUUAGCCUCUCGAAUAUCUUCGCACGGGUCGGAAAUUAUGUAUUUGUAUCGUGUCAUUAAAUUGCUUACUAUACCAACAAAAAUAUUUGAUAACAUGCAAGAAAUAUCCUAUUGUUUGAUGUAAAAUGUGGAAGUUGCAUGCAGAAGUGGACAAACAUCAUUGCACGCCUUUUCGGAGGAAGUUCCACGACCAUCGACACGGAACGAUAUAGUCGUGUCGUUCAUUUGCUUCCAAAGUGUCCCAGCCCACGAACAAAUCGACCGUUCGGACAACAAACGUACAGUCUACGUGCGUAUUGCAUUACAUAAAUACGGAAUAAGAAGACGACCAUAAGUACAAUUUCGUUGGCAGAUUCCAAAACAAAAACGGUCGGCGAUAUGUAUGUCCGUGCAACCCCGGUGUAACACCGAUCAACACCUGAAUAUUAGGAUGACUAAUCUAAUCUCUAUCAGUUACAGACAGGAUGAUGAUGUCUCGAAGGCGAUCACUAUAUUACGGAAUCGACGAAGGCUGCGUCGAUGAUGCCUGCCAAAUAACUACGGUUAAGAUGAGCGGUUGACUAUGACUCGAACGGGCAACAAAUAGGACGCAAUGAAGUCAAACAUUGUGCAUAAUACGGUGAUGAACCUGAACCACAGAGUUUCCUUUAACUUAACUCAGGGCUGCGUUGUAGUGAUGUAUUCUACGGGAAAGACGACGCCUCGGAAUGGUCAAAUUUUCACCGCGGCGCUGUUCCAUCUUUUCAACCUGAUGCUGCUCAUCCCAUGCGAUCGCUGUGACUAGGACAAUGAACUACAUCCCGCUCUGGAAUUCCAUAAUUUAUGCUUAGUUCUGUCCCAUGACAAACUCUUAGGUUUUGUUUAUGACGCUGCUGAUACCGGCAUGGAUCCUAAAAUGGCUCUCGGGACACUUCUCAUGGCCACCACGGGAACCAUCAAGACAUCAAGAAGCUCUGUAUGUGUGUCCAUAAGAGAACGGAAAAGGAGAAUGGUGCCUAUGAGGUGUAGUGUUUGAUAAUGAUGUGAUAGCAGGACGAUGCGUAUCAUGAAAAAACGGACUAUUGUUUUAUUACCAAGAAGAAUGAAAAAAGAUAAAUAUAAAUAUUUGUUUAGAUUUUCUUAUAAAACACAAGUCAAAUAAGAAAUGAAA